UACGGGGGGAGCAAGCGUUGUUCGGAAUUACUGGGCGUAAAGCGCACGUAGGCGGCUUUGUAAGUUAGAGGUGAAAGCCCAGGGCUUAACCCUGGAAUUGCCUUUAACGACUGCAUCGCUAGAAUCGUGGAGAGGUGAGUGGAAUUCCGAGUGUAGAGGUGAAAUUCGUAGAUAUCGGGAGGAACACCAGUGGCGAAGGCGGCGAUCUGGGAAGAUACUGACGCUGAGGUGCGAAAGCGUGGGGAGCAAACAGG
rnacentral:rRNA from 1 species